CGGGUGCGUAACACGUGAGCAACCUACCGAAAUGAGGGGGAUAGCCGUCCCAACGGACGGGUAAUACCGCAUACGCUCUGUCCAGGCAUUUGGACUUGAGGAAACCUCCGGGGCAUUUCGAGGGGCUCGCGGCCUAUCAGCUAGUUGGUGAGGUAACGGCUCACCAAGGCGACGACGGGUAGCUGGUCUGAGAGGAUGGCCAGCCACAUUGGGACUGAGAUACGGCCCAG
rnacentral:rRNA from 1 species